GACGAACGCUGGCGGCGUGCUUAACACAUGCAAGUCGAACGGAAAGGCCCUGCUUUUGUGGGGUGCUCGAGUGGCGAACGGGUGAGUAACACGUGAGUAACCUGCCCUUGACUUUGGGAUAACUUCAGGAAACUGGGGCUAAUACCGGAUAGGAGCUCCUGCUGCAUGGUGGGGGUUGGAAAGUUUCGGCGGUUGGGGAUGGACUCGCGGCUUAUCAGCUUGUUGGUGGGGUAGUGGCUUACCAAGGCUUUGACGGGUAGCCGGCCUGAGAGGGUGACCGGCCACAUUGGGACUGAGAUACGGCCCAGACUCCUACGGGAGGCAGCAGUGGGGAAUAUUGCACAAUGGGCGGAAGCCUGAUGCAGCAACGCCGCGUGCGGGAUGACGGCCGUCGGGUUGUAAACCGCUUUCGCCUGUGGCGAAGCGUGAGUGACGGUAAUGGGUAAAGAAGCACCGGCUAACUACGUG
rnacentral:rRNA from 1 species